rnacentral:rRNA from 1 species
AUGGCAGUCUCCAAGCUCGCCGCCGUGUCUCUACUGCUGCUUUCGGCCUCGCUCGCGGCCGUGCUGCUCCUCCGCCCCUCCGGCGCAGACGACGGCGGCGCCCCGUGGGGCGCGGGCAGCGGCGGCAUCCUCACCGCCCUGCCGUUCAGCCCCGCGGACGUCCUGCCCCUCCUGCCGAGGCGCGUCGCGAUGGCGGCCCUCCGUGCGCUCCGCGGCGCGUCGGACAUCUUCCCGGUGUUCGUGGGCGCGGCGACGGCCGGGCCGGCGCAGGCGGGCACCGCGCCGGUGGGCUGGAAAGGAGCCUGCUUCUACGAGAACGAGGCCUGGCUGUCCUUCCACAACGACUCCGGCUCCAAGUACGGCGGCGGCACGGUCCACCUCAAGGUACGGCACGGUGCUUCCCGCAAAGUCCGCCGUAGAGCACGGUCGCCACGAACUGCCGCAGAGCUUGCUUCCGGAUAG